rnacentral:rRNA from 1 species
AGUGAACGCUGGCGGUAUGCCUAACACAUGCAAGUCGAACGGCAGCACAGUAAGAGCUUGCUCUUACGCGUGGCGAGUGGCAGACGGGUGAGGAACACAUCGGAAACUACUGGUUCGUGUGGCAAAACGUAGGGAAACUUACGUGAAUACCGCAUACGAUCUACGGGUGAAAGCAGGAGCUCUUCGGACAUUAGUCGAUGGAAUCAGCCGAUAUCGGAUUAGCUAGUUGGCGGGGUAAAGGCCCACCAAGGCGACGAUCCGUAGCCGGUCUGAGAGGAUGAUCAGCCACACUGGAACUGAGACACGGUCCAAACUCCUACGGGAGGCAGCAGUGGGGAAUAUUGGACAAUGGGCGAAAGCCUGAUCCAGCGAUACCGCGUGGGUGAAGAAGGCCUUCGGGUUGUAAAGCCCUUUUGUUGGGAAAGAAAAUCAGCAAGUUAAUACGCCGCUGUUAUGACGGUACCUAAAGAAUAAGCCCCGGCUAACUACGUG